CUAGGGUAAGUUUAAAAUGUCCAUUAGCCCUAAUGUUAAUGUAUAGCCCACAAGUUUUAGAUUACAGAAACCUGCCAUUGAUUGUUUAAAAAAUUAUGGGACUUUACUUAAUAAUUCUAUCUGAUUCCAGGAGAAGGGAAUGCUAAAAGAACCACUGCACAGUGACAAAGAAGCACAAAGCUAACCUGAAUAGUGCCAGUCAAGCACAAGAUGAAAGAGACCAAGAUACAGAGGACUAGAACUUGUUUGAGGCUUGAGGUUGUGGCUGUUUGACAUAUGUCAGGAGCAGGAAGUCCAUGAACCACAUUCUACCCAUCAGUUCACUUGGACUGCCAUCCUGGCUCCUGUAUCUCUGAGAAAUGCAAAAGCAGAUCACAGAAUGCUAUUUCCCAAUUUGCUGCUAAAAUCUAGUCCUUUUUCUGACUUUCAUAAUAUGGCAAACUUUCUGGAGUCUUGGCUACUGAUUGGGAUAGAAGAGUAAUUCUCUUAGCAUAAUGGCCCUGGAUUCUAGAAAAAGGUACAAGGGACAUGGGGGAGGGAGUUUUAGUCAUUUCAUCAACAUUUUUUUAAAGUAUUACUAUAGCCUUAAGUACAAAACAUAGGAGUUUGUAUUUUACUGAGAAAUGAUACAGAAGCACUGCAACUUCUGUGGGCAGAAAAAUUAAUUAAUUUUUAAUUAAUAAUUUUAAAACAUCAAUUUGAUUGCUAUGUGGUAAAUGGUCUAGAGAGGAUAGAUUACUAAUGCAAGGAGCCUAGUUGGGAAGACAUCACAAUAAUCAAGGGGAGAUAGUGAAUCAUCUCAUGGAAGAAGAGAAUGGAACAAUUGUGGGAGAAGUUGUGGAGGCUAAAUGAUAAUACUUAUUAUUUGCUUUGAUAUGUGCUGGGGAGAGAGAGAAGAAUGAAGAGUUGAAAAUGAUUAUGAGCUUUUAAACUGAGGUAAAAGUGCAGAUUGUCGUACAUGCUGUGCAAAAGUAGGGAAAUUAGCAAGAAUAAGUUCAUAUCCAGAAAAUGAGGUGUUUUCUUUUAAUAAGCUGAAUUGUAGAUAUCUAUGAAAAAUCCAGAAAGAAAUGUCAACUGUUGAUGUUGUUCUGCAGUUCAGAAGAGAAAUUAGGAUUGUAUAUAAAAGUAUAGGAGCCAAAUACAUAAAGAAGUUAAUUGAAUUGUGAAUUGAUGAGAUCACCAAAACCUCAUAUAGAGAUAACAAGGCCUAUGACUAAGCUUAGGUAUACUCCUAUAAAAGUUAGGGGAUGACAAAUAAAAAAAAAAUAAUACUGAGAAAGAGUAACCA
rnacentral:lncRNA from 1 species